GGAAGGUUAAAAAAGGCAGUGUGUCUUGUUUGUAUUAACAUGAAGUCCUCCCCCCACACCAUGAGACCAAAUAGCCACAAAGAAGAUUUUGAAAUUAGGAGAAGUGUCGAGAGGGAGGAAUUGUUCUGUGCUGAUGUUGAAACUGUGGGCAACAUCUAGCAAACUCUGGCAAAUCACCAACUGUGUCACCAGAUUGUUACCGGACAGGAAAACGUGGGAGCUUCCAAAUCACCUUCUCCUCUUGUCCUCUGACCCAGGGAAGCCAACACUCUUCACAGAAAGGUACUCUUUCUUCUGUGAACAGGACAUCAAUUUCUGUUAACAUGACACAACCGAAUAGCACAAAUGGGUAAGCACAUUAAAUACGAAUUAUUGUGAAAUUAACUUUAUGUUUGAAAACUUGGAAAACAAUCAACUUAUAAGCAAUCCAAGAGCAACCCCCCCCUCCUCUCUUUCAUCAAGUAAAUUGAAGGCCCAUGAAAUAGAGAAG
rnacentral:lncRNA from 1 species